rnacentral:rRNA from 1 species
CACGUAGGGGGCAAGCGUUGUCCGGAAUUAUUGGGCGUAAAGAGCUCGUAGGCGGCUCGGUAAGUCAGGUGUCAAAUCCUCAGGCUCAACCUGGGGCUCCACCUGAUACUGCUGUGGCUAGAGUCCGGUAGGGGAGCGUGGAAUUCCUGGUGUAGCGGUGAAAUGCGCAGAUAUCAGGUGGAACACCAGCGGCGAAGGCGGCCCCCUGGGCCGAACCUGACGCUGAGGCGCGAAGGCUAGGGGAGCGAACGGG